AAAAAAGUCAAGGACACAGAAGGCAUGUUUACAGAAAUGUAAACUUAUCUAAUAGUCAGAAAUAAACUUUAAAAAAAAUCUAUAAAAAAAAAGAAAAUGAUAAACUUCAUCAAAUUGAAACCAACACAUGAGAAAGACCUGAGAGCCUGAAUCUCUGAGCUUCUUAUUGAGACUGAGGUUCAAUCAAGACAACAAGCAGCAGCUGAGUUUAAUUCACCAGAAACAGCUGAAGGAGACAGAAAUACAGCAGAACAAUCGAAUAAAAGAGUUAAAAACAAAGGGAGCCAGACUUAUUGUUGAGAUCUACGGCUCUGUGACCCAUGGCACAAAACAAGUUUAUAUGAGGAAAAAGGGGAUUUCACGUACCCAUGCCACAGCCAUGAUGCCCAGAGCAAACAGACUGGGUCCCAGCAGGUUCCAGAGACCGUGGCGGUCCAGCUGCAAAGCCAUCGACAGCGACAUGGCCCCCAGCAGAUACAGCACCUGCACGAGAGCCACACGCCUGUCAUCAACACCCACCGUGUCACUGAAUCACCAGAGGAUGAAGAGGAUUGAGUGAUCAAGCAGCAACAGUCAGGAAAAAGGAAUCGCUGAAAGAUUUUCAUCAAGUUAAAGUCUGGAGUCUGGAAAAAUCUACGUUUUUUUUGCAAAAACGACAGGUUUUGUAACCAUUCAAGUCAACUAGUUUUCUAAAAAUGUGUUAUUGUUUCGUUAAAGAAAAUAACAGUAAACAAAUUGUGAGUAGACAUCCUGAAAAAAUCAAUUAAAGUCCAGUCAAAUUAAGCAAAUACAAGCUCAAACAAAUGAUAGCACAAAGUCUAUUUAUUCUAUUGGAAAAUCACAGCUGCAUUUAUUAAUAAAUGACUGAGCCGGAGAAGAUGCAGCAGCCAGAGGAUUUAGGAGGGCAAGUCGAGGCAGGUGCAGCUAAUGAUCAACGCUUGAUGAAUUAAUGAUGAACAGGUGUGCAGAACUUACAAAAAAAAAAAAAAAAAAA